GAUGAAGAACGUAGCGAAAUGCGAUAAGUAAUGUGAAUUGCAGAAUUCAGUGAAUCAUCGAAUCUUUGAACGCACAUUGCGCCCGUCAGUAUUCUGGCGGGCAUGCCUGUUCGAGCGUCAUUACGCCCCUCAAGUCCCCUGUGGACUUGGUGUUGGGGAUCGGCGAGGCUGGUUUUCCAGCACAGCCGUCCCUUAAAUUAAUUGGCGGUCUCGCCGUGGCCCUCCUCUGCGCAGUAGUAAAACACUCGCAACAGGAGCCCGGCGCGGUCCACUGCCGUAAAACCCCCCAACUUUUCAUAGUUGACCUCGAAUCAGGUAGGACUACCCGCUGAACUUAAGCAUAUCAAUAAGCGGAGGA
rnacentral:misc_RNA from 1 species